GACGAACGCUGGCGGCGUGCUUAACACAUGCAAGUCGAACGGAAAGGCCCUGCUUUUGUGGGGUGCUCGAGUGGCGAACGGGUGAGUAACACGUGAGUAACCUGCCCUUGACUUUGGGAUAACUUCAGGAAACUGGGGCUAAUACCGGAUAGGAGCUCCUGCUGCAUGGUGGGGGAUGGAAAGUUUCGGCGGUUGGGGAUGGACUCGCGGCUUAUCAGCUUGUUGGUGAGGUAGUGGCUUACCAAGGCUUUGACGGGUAGCCGGCCUGAGAGGGUGACCGGCCACAUUGGGACUGAGGUACGGCCCAGACUCCUACGGGAGGCAGCAGUGGGGAAUAUUGCACAAUGGGCGGAAGCCUGAUGCAGCAACGCCGCGUGCGGGAUGACGGCCUUCGGGUUGUAAACCGCUUUCGCCUGUGACGAAGCGUGAGUGACGGUAAUGAGUAAAGAAGCACCGGCUAACUACGUG
rnacentral:rRNA from 1 species